rnacentral:rRNA from 1 species
UACGAAGGGUGCAAACGUUGCUCGGAAUUAUUGGGCGUAAAGCGCACGUAGGCGGCUUAGCAAGUCGGAAGUGAAAGCCCUCGGCUCAACCAAGGAAGUGCUUUCGAAACUGCUGAGCUUGAGUACUUAAGAGGAUCGCGGAAUUCCCGGUGUAGAGGUGAAAUUCGUAGAUAUCGGGAGGAACACCAGUGGCGAAGGCGGCGAUCUGGGAAGAUACUGACGCUGAAGUGCGAAAGCGUGGGGAGCAAACAGG